rnacentral:rRNA from 1 species
GACGAACCGUGCGAACGUUGUUCGGAAUCACUGGGCUUAAAGGGCGCGUAGGCGGGCGGCCAAGUCCGGGGUGAAAUCCUCCAGCCCAACUGGAGAAGCGCCUCGGAGACUGGUCAUCUCGAGGGGGGUAGGGGCAAGCGGAACUAUGGGUGGAGCGGUGAAAUGCAUUGAUAUCCAUAGGAACUCCGGUGGCGAAGGCGGCUUGCUGGACCCUUUCUGACGCUGAGGCGCGAAAGCCAGGGGAGCGAACGGG